GAAAAUGAAAAAGAAAAAAAGAAAAAAGAAUAAUUACAAGAAAAUGAAAAAGAAAAAAAGAAAAUAGAAUAAUUACAAGACAAUGAAAAUGAGACCGUAUGUAUUAAAGGAAACUAACCCAAUCAUUUAUCUAGUGUUACAUUAGCACCAACUUUAUUAUUGUGAGAUCCUCAUAAUCCUAACAAACAUCUUAAUCUCAUCAAAACAAUAUGAAAAACCCUAUCAUAAUCCUUGGUGAUGCAAGUAUAAAAUUGAAAAUAAGAGGAAACACAGAUGAAUAGAGUGACAAAAUAAACAAGUUAGAGAUGUGUAACCUUCAAAAGACUAACCUAUAUCAGAAAUCAAUUGUUUCGUACAUUUGAUAGAUAAGAAAGAAAAUUACUCAUAAAAGAUAGAAAAAAAAGGAAAAAAUGACAAUUUUUCUGCAGUACGUAUUUUUUUACCCUUUGUAUUUUGUUUAUACAAUCAUAGAGUGAUUAUGAACCAGAGAUUUCUAUUAAAUAUUUUAAGCUAAAUGAUUAUAUUAAGUAAAUCCUCAGUUAUAUAAAUCAAUCAAACAUUUAUUGAGUAACAAACCUAGACAUUAAUUAGUCUAUAAAGAUAUGUAUUGAACAUCAAAAUUAAUUAAAUAUAUACUUAUAUGCUAAAGAACAUAAAAUGUCAUCUUCUAUAUUCUGAUAAUUAAACGAUUAACAUAAGUUAUAUAGAUUAAAAUAUAUGCUAAAAUACUAAUUAUAAGUAGAAAAUGAAAAAGAAAAAAAGAAAAAAGAGUAAUUACAAGAAAAUGAAAAAGAAAAAAAGAAAAUAGAAUAAUUACAAGACAAUGAAAAUGAGACCAUAUGUAUUAAAGGAAACAAACCCAAUCAUUUUUCUAGUGUUAAAUUAGCACCAACUUUAUUAUUGUGAGAUCCUCAUAAUCCUAACAAACAUCUCAAUCUCAUCAAAACAAUACGAAAAACCCUAUCAUAAUCAUUGGUGAUGCAAGAAUAAAAUUGAAAAUAAGAGGAAACACAGAUGAAUAGAGUGACAAAAUAAACAAGUUAGAGAAAGGUAACCUUCAAAAGAUUAACCUAUAUCAGAAAUCAAUUGUUCUGUACAUUUGAUAGAUAAGAUAGAAAAUUACUCAUAAAAGAUAGAAAAAAAAAGGAAAAUAUGACAAUUUUUCAGCAGUACGUAUUUUUUUACCCUUUGUAUUUUUUUUAUACAAUCAUAAAGUGAUUAUGAACCAGAGAUUUCUAUUAAAUAUUGUAAGCUAAAUAUUUAUAUUAAGUAAAUCCUCAAUUAUAUAAAUCAAUCAAAAAUUUAGUGAGUAACAAACCUUGAAAUUAAUUAAUUUAGAAUGAUAUGUAUUGAACAUCAAAAUUAAUUAAAUAUAUACUUAUAUCCUAAAGAACAUAAAAUGUCAUCUUUUAUAUUCUGAUAAUUAAACGAUUAACAUAAGUUAUAUAGAUUAAAAAAUAUGCUAAAAUACUAAUUAUAAGUAGAAAAAGAAAAAGAAAAAAAGAAAAAAGAAUAAUUACAAGAAAAUGAAAAAGAAAAAAAGAAAAAUGAAUAAUUACAAGACAAUGAAAAUGAGACCGUAUAUAUUAAAGGAAACCAACCCAAUCAUUUAUCUAGUGUUACAUUAGCACUAACUUUAUUAUUGUGAGAUCCUCAUAAUCCUAACAAACAUCUUAAUCUCAUCAAAACAAUAUGAAAAACCCUAUCAUAAUCAAUGGUGAUGCAAGAAUAAAAUUGAAAAUAAGAGGAAACACAGAUGAAUAGAGUGACAAAAUAAACAAGUUAGAGAUGUGUAACCUUCAAAAGAUUAACCUAUAUCAGAAAUCAAUUGUUCCGUACAUUUGAUAGAUAAGAAAGAAAAUUACUCAUAAAAGAUAGAAAAAAAAGGAAAAUAUGACAAUUUUUCAGCAGUACGUAUUUUUGUACCCUUUGUAUUUUGUUUAUACAAUCAUAAAGUGAAUAUGAACCAGAGAUUUCUAUUAAAUAUUGUAUGCAAAAUAAUUAAAUUAAGUAAAUCCUCAAAUAUAUAAAUAAAUCAAACAUUUAUUGAGUAACAAACCUUGACAUUAGUUAGUUUAGAAAGAUAUGUAUUGAAAAUCAAAAUUAAAUAAAUAUAUACUUAUAUCCUAAAGAACAUAAAAUGUCAUCUUUUAUUUUUUGAUAAUUAAACGAUUAACAUAAGUUAUAUUGAUUAAAAAAUAUGCUAAAAUACUAAGUAUAAGUAGAAAAUGAAAAAGAAAAAAAAAGAAAAAAGAAUAAUUAUAAGAAAAUGAAAAAGAAAAAAAUAAAAUAGAAUAAUUACAAGACAAUGAAAAUGAGACCGUAUGUAUUAAAGGAAACCAAUCCAAUCAUUUUUCUAGUGUUACAUUGGCACCAACUUUAUUAUUGUGAGAUCCUCAUAAUCCUAACAAACAUCUCAAUCUCAUCAAAACAAUACGAAAAACCCUAUCAUAAUCAUUGGUGAUGCAAGAAUAAAAUUGAAAAUAAGAGGAAACACAGAUGAAUAGAGUGACAAAAUAAACAAGUUAGAGAUGUGUAACCUUCAAAAGAUCAACCUAUAUCAGAAAUCACUUGAUCUGUACAUUUGAUAGAUAAGAAAGAAAAUUACUCAUAAAAGAUAGAAAAAAAAGGAAAAUAUGACAAUUUUUCAGCAGUACGUAUUUUUUUACCCUUUGUAUUUUGUUUAUACAAUCAUAAAGUGAUUAUGAACCAGAGAUUUCUAUUAAAUAAUGUAAGCUAAAUAUUUAUAUUAAGUACAUCCUCAAUUAUAUAAAUCAAUCAAACAUGUAAUGAGUAACAAACCUUGACAUUAAUUAGUUUAGAAAGAUAUGUAUUGAACAUCAAAAUUAAUUAAAUAUAUACUUAUAUCCUAAAGAACAUAAAAUGUCAUCUUCUAUAUUCUGAUAAUUAAACAAUUAACAUAAGUUAUAUAGAUUAAAAAAUAUGCUAAAAUACUAAUUAUAAGUAGAAAAUGAAAAAGAAAAAAAGAAAAAAGAAUAAUUACAAGAAAAUGAAAAAGAAAAAAAGAAAAUAGAAUAAUUACAAGAAAAUGAAAAUGAGACCGUAUGUUAUAAAGGAAACCAACUCAAUCAUUUUUCCAGUGUUACAUUAGCACCACCUUUAUUAUUGUGAGAUCCUCAUAAUCCUAACAAACAUCUCAAUCUCAUCAAAACAAUACGAAAAACCCUAUCAUAAUCAUUGGUGAUGCAAGAAUAAAAUUGAAAAUAAGAGGAAACACAGAUGAAUAGAGUGACAAAAUAAACAAGUUAGAGAUGUGUAACCUUCAAAAGAUCAACCUAUAUCAGAAAUCACUUGAUCUGUACAUUUGAUAGAUAAGAAAGAAAAUUACUCAUAAAAGAUAGAAAAAAAAGGAAAAUAUGACAAUUUUUCAGCAGUACGUAUUUUUUUACCCUUUGUAUUUUGUUUAUACAAUCAUAAAGUGAUUAUGAACCAGAGAUUUCUAUUAAAUAAUGUAAGCUAAAUAUUUAUAUUAAGUACAUCCUCAAUUAUAUAAAUCAAUCAAACAUGUAAUGAGUAACAAACCUUGACAUUAAUUAGUUUAGAAAGAUAUGUAUUGAACAUCAAAAUUAAUUAAAUAUAUACUUAUAUCCUAAAGAACAUAAAAUGUCAUCUUCUAUAUUCUGAUAAUUAAACAAUUAACAUAAGUUAUACAGAUUAAAAAAUAUGCUAAAAUACUAAUUAUAAGUAGAAAAUGAAAAAGAAAAAAAGAAAAUAGAAUAAGUACAAGAAAAAAAAAAUAAAAAAAAAAAAUAGAAAAAUAACAACUUUAUUAUUGUGUGAUCCUCAUAAUCCUAACAAACAUCUCAAUCUCAUCAAACCAAUACGAAAAACACUAUCAUAAUCAUUAGUGAUGCAAGGAUAAAAUGGAAAAUAAGAGGAAACACAGAUGAAUAGAGUGACAAAAUAAGCAAGUUAGAGAUGUGUAACCUUCAAAAGAUUAACCUAUAUAUCAGAAAUGAAUUGUUCUGUACAUUUGAAAGAUAAGAUAGAAAAUUACUCAUAAAAGAUAGAAAAAAAGGAAAAUAUGACAAUUUUUCAGCAGUACGUAUUUUUUUACCCUUUGUUUUUUGCCUAUACAAUCAUAAAGUGAUUAUGUACCAGAGAUUUCUAUUAAAUAUUGCAAGCUAAAUACUUAUAUUAAGUAAAUCCUCAAUUAUAUAAAUCAUUCAAACAUUUAAUGAGUAACAAAGCUUGACAUUAAUUAAUUUAGAAAGAUAUGUAUUGAACAUCAAAAUUAAAUAAAUAUAUACUUAUAUCCUAAAGAACAUAAAAUGUCAUCUUCUAUAUUCUGAUAAUUAAACGAUUAACAUAAGUUAUAUAUAUAUUAAAGGAAACCAACUCAAUCAUUUUUCCAGUGUUACAUUAGCACCACCUGUAUUAUUGUGAGAUCCUCAUAAUCCUAACAAACAUAUCAAUCUCAUCAAAACAAUAUGAAAACCCUAUCAUUAUCAUUGGUGACGCAAGAACAAAAUUGAAAAUAAGAGAAAACACAGAUGAAUAGGGUGACAAAAUAAAAAAGGUAGAGAUGUGUAACCUUCAGAAGAUCAACCUAUCUCAGAAAUCACUUGAUUUGUUCAACCUAUUUCAGCAGUACGUAUUUUUUAACCCUUUGUAUUUUGUUUAUACAAUCAUAAAGUGAAUACGAACCAGAGAUCUCUAUUAAAUAAUGUAACCUAAAUAUUUUCAUUAAGUACAUCCCCAAUUAUAUAAAUCAAUCAAACAUGUAAUGAGUAAAAAACAUUCACAUUAAAUAGUUUAGAAAGAUAUGUAUUGAAUAUCAAAAUUAAUUAAAUAUAUACUUAUAUCCUUAAGUACAUAGAAUGUCAUCUUCUAUAUUCUGAUAAUUAAACAAUUAACAUAAGUUAUACAGAUUAAAAAAUAUCCUAAAAUACUAAUUAUAAGUAGAAAAUGAAAACCAAAAAAGAAAAGAGAAUAAUUACAAGAAUAUGAAAAAGAAAAAAAGAAAAUAGAAUAAUUACAAGACAAUGAAAAUGAGACCGUAUGUAUUAAAGGAAACCAACCCAAACAUUUUUCUAGUGUUACAUUAGCAACAACUUUAUUAUUGUGAGAUCCUCAUAAUCCUAACAAACAUCUCAAUCUCAUCAAAACAAUACGAAAAACACUAUCAUAAUCAUUGGUGAUGCAAGAAUAAAAUUGAAAAUAAGAGGAAACACAGAUGAAUAGAGUGACAAAAUAAGCAAGUUAGAGAUGUGUAACCUUCAAAAGAUUAACCUAUAUCAGAAAUCAAUUGUUCNNN
rnacentral:lncRNA from 1 species